CUAGCCGUAAACGAUGGAUACUAGGCAUUGUGAGUAUCGACCCUCACAGUGUCGUAGCUAACGCGUUAAGUAUCCCGCCUGGGGAGUACGCGCGCAAGCGUGAAACUCAAAGGAAUUGACGGGGGCCCGCACAAGCGGUGGAGUAUGUGGUUUAAUUCGAUGCAACGCGAAGAACCUUACCAGGACUUGACAUGUCGCGAAUCUCAGGGAAACUUGAGAGUGCCUUCGGGAGCGCGAACACAGGUGGUGC
rnacentral:rRNA from 1 species